rfam:Picea glauca, whole genome shotgun sequence.
ACAUAGGCUCUUUCUUCCUAUCUGGGUACCUACCGAGCCAGAGCCACUCUCUAUUAAAAAAAAAUGGAUAU